AGGAACGAACACAGAGAGAGCCCAGAACCUAAAAUUAACUCAGGUCCAAGUGUCUCCAACCUGUGCCAAGCCAAUCUAACCCAUCAGAAGGCCCUCUAGCCUUUCACUCCACACCUUGGAUCUCUGCUGAGAGGAGGUCAGAAGUGACGGCCACAAAGGCGACCGGCCUGACUGGAGCACUAGGGAAAGAUUUGCAGAGUACGACCUGGAAAACAGAUCCCGACCCUUGUUUGCCACCGUAAACUAGUCCCAGGGCGAGAUCUCUCUCAUCCUCAAUAAAAGCAAGGGUGAACAAA